UCUUUUUGUUGCCAAAUUUCA
rnacentral:piRNA from 1 species